rnacentral:rRNA from 1 species
GCAACUGAUAUAUAAGAUGGCUCUUGACCAUGCGGAGUGACUAAUUAACGGCCGCGGUAUUUUGACCGUGCGAAGGUAGCGCAUCACUUGUCUUUUAAUGAGACCUGUAUGAUGGUGUACGAGGGCUUACUGUCUCCCCUUCGAGUCAUGAAUUGAUCUGCCGUGCAGAGCGGACAUAAAUACAGACGAGAGACCUUGAGCUAGAUACAGGAUCACUAUGUCAGGAUCAUAAGCUAACUAAUACACUGAUCCUAUCUUCGUUGGCACUCUGAGAAACAAGCUCCUGCGAUGGCCACGCUAACCAGGAGUAUUUCUAGUCCGAAUCUGAACUUAAAUCGCAGGCGAUAGCACGGUACCUAGUACGCAACCUUCGAGUCAUCCGAGGUACACCUAUUGUACGACCAUGGCCCGUUAGGCCUGUCUAGAAGC